CUUACACAUGCAAGUCGAACGGUAACAUAAAGAAGCUUGCUUCUUUGAUGACGAGUGGCGGACGGGUGAGUAAUGCUUGGGAAUCUAGCUUAUGGAGGGGGAUAACUACGGGAAACUGUAGCUAAUACCGCGUAGAAUCGAGAGAUGAAAGUGUGGGACCUUCGGGCCACAUGCCAUAGGAUGAGCCCAAGUGGGAUUAGGUAGUUGGUGAGGUAAAGGCUCACCAAGCCGACGAUCUCUAGCUGGUCUGAGAGGAUGACCAGCCACACUGGGACUGAGACACGGCCCAGACUCCUACGGGAGGCAGCAGUGGGGAAUAUUGCGCAAUGGGGGCAACCCUGACGCAGCCAUGCCGCGUGAAUGAAGAAGGCCUUCGGGUUGUAAAGUUCUUUCGGUAGCGAGGAAGGCAUUUAGUUUAAUAGACUAGGUGAUUGACGUUAACUACAGAAGAAGCACCGGCUAACUCCGUGCCAGCAGCCGCGGUAAUACGGAGGGUGCGAGCGUUAAUCGGAAUAACUGGGCGUAAAGGGCACGCAGGCGGUGACUUAAGUGAGGUGUGAAAGCCCCGGGCUUAACCUGGGAAUUGCAUUUCAUACUGGGUCGCUAGAGUACUUUAGGGAGGGGUAGAAUUCCACGUGUAGCGGUGAAAUGCGUAGAGAUGUGGAGGAAUACCGAAGGCGAAGGCAGCCCCUUGGGAAUGUACUGACGCUCAUGUGCGAAAGCGUGGGG
rnacentral:rRNA from 1 species